AACUGGGAAUCUUGCGCAAUGGGCGAAAGCCUGACGCAGCGACACCGCGUGUGGGAAGAAGGCCUUCGGGUUGUAAACCACUGUGGAGGGGGAACAAAAAAAUGAGGGUACCCCUCUAGAAAGUACUUGCUAACUACGUGCCAGAAGCCUCGGUAAUACGUAGAGUACAAGCGUUAUCCGGAUUUAUUGGGCGUAAAGCGUAUCGCAGGUGGAAGUACACGUGACGGGUGUAAGCCGGCAGCUCAACUGUCGAACUGCUCGUCAUACGAUACUUCUUGAGUAUGUUGGAGGGAACUGGAAUUCUUUGUGGAGGGGUGAAAUCCGUAGAUACAAAGAGGAACGCCAAGGGUGAAGACAAGUUCCUACGGCAUUACUGACACUCAUGAACGACAGCUAGGGGAGCAAAAGGGAUUAGAGACCCCUGUAGUCCUAGCCGUAAACUUUGGAUACUAGUUGCCCCAUAGCAGAGCAUAGGUUGUCAGGUGUUGGGUACGAGGUGUCAGAAAAACUGAUACCCGUAACCUGAUAUCUGAUACCUGAAUUCUGCUAUGGGGUGACGCAAGCUAACGCGUUAAGUAUCCCGCCUGGGGAGUACGGCCGCAAGGCUAAAACUUAAAGGAAUUGACGGGGGAGCGCACAACCAGUGGAGCAUGUGGUUUAAUUCGAGACGAAGCGAAAGACCUUACCCAGGUUUGACAUGUAUCUGCACGGUUAUGGAAACAUAGCCUUCUUCGAGAGUGAUACACAGGUGAUGCAUGGCUGUCGUCAGCUCGUGUCGUGAGAUGUCCGCUUAAGUGCGGUAACGAGCGCAACCCCUGCCGGAAGUUACAUAUCUUCCGGGACUGCCUACCAUUCAGGUGGGAGGAAGGAGGGGACGACGUCAAGUCAGCACGUCCCUUACAUCUGGGGCAACACACAUCCUACAAUGGCACUAACAACGGGUCGCGACGGGGUAACCCUGAGCUAAUCCUUAUAAAUAGUGCCUCAGUUCAGAUCGAGGUCUGCAACCCGACCUCGUGAAGCCGGAAUUGGUAGUAAUCGCAAAUCAGCAGGUUGCGGUGAAUACGUUCUCGCUCCUUGUACACACUGCCCGUCAAAUGAGCAAAGCUGGCAACGCCCGAAGUGGAUGAUCCCAACCGCAAGGAGGGACACUCCUACGGCGAGGUCAGUGAUGAGCGUU
rnacentral:rRNA from 1 species